CGACGUCGCGAGAAGUCC
rnacentral:siRNA from 1 species